CGUCUCCGUUAAUGAUUUUAGGUGCUUGCACUUGAAAGAUUUAACAUUGAGACGAGUGGCGAACUGGUGAGUAACACGUGGGUAACCUGCCCUUGAAGUAGGGGAUAACACUUGGAAACAGGUGCUAAUACCGUAUAACAACCAAAACCACCUGGUUUUGGUUUAAAAGACGGCUUCGGCUGUCACUUUAGGAUGGACCCGCGGCGUAUUAGCUUGUUGGUAAGGUAACGGCCUACCAAGGCGAUGAUACGUAGCCGACCUGAGAGGGUAAUCGGCCACAUUGGGACUGAGACACGGCCCAAACUCCUACGGGAGGCAGCAGUAGGGAAUCUUCCACAAUGGACGAAAGUUUGAUGGAGCAACGCCGCGUGAGUGAUGAAGGGUUUCGGCUCGUAAAACUCUGUUGUUGGAGAAGAACAGGUGUCAGAGUAACUGUUGACAUCUUGACGGUAUCCAACCAGAAAGCCACGGCUAACUACGUGCCAGCAGCCGCGGUAAUACGUAGGUGGCAAGCGUUGUCCGGAUUUAUUGGGCGUAAAGCGAGCGCAGGCGGUUUUUUAGGUCUGAUGUGAAAGCCUUCGGCUUAACCGGAGAAGUGCAUCGGAAACCGGGAGACUUGAGUGCAGAAGAGGACAGUGGAACUCCAUGUGUAGCGGUGAAAUGCGUAGAUAUAUGGAAGAGCACCAGUGGCGAAGGCGGCUGUCUGGUCUGUAACUGACGCUGAGGCUCGAAAGCAUGGGUAGCGAACAGGAUUAGAUACCCUGGUAGUCCAUGCCGUAAACGAUGAGUGCUAAGUGUUGGAGGGUUUCCGCCCUUCAGUGCUGCAGCUAA
rnacentral:rRNA from 1 species